rnacentral:rRNA from 1 species
AUUGAACGCUGGCGGCAGGCCUAAAACAUGCAAGUCGAGCGAGCGGCGGACGGGUGAGGAAUGUAUGGGGACUGCGCGAAAGAGGGGGAUAACUACUGGAAAAGGGGGGUAAUACCGAGUACUGUCGGAUAACCCAGAUGGGAUUAGCUAGUAGGUAGGGUAAUGGCUUACCUAGGCGACGAUCCCUAGCUGGUCUGAGAGGAUGAUCGGCCACACUGGGACUUAGACACGCCCCAGACUCCUACGGAGGCAGCAGUGGGGAAUAUUUCACAAUGGGCGCAAGGCUGAUGCAGCCAUGCCGCGUGUAUGAAGAAGGCCCUAGGGUUGUAAAGUACUUUCACUCGGGAGGCGUUACCUUCAGAAGAAGCACCGGCUAACUCCGUGCCAGCAGCCGCGGUAAUAC